rnacentral:misc_RNA from 1 species
GAUGAAGAACGCAGCGAAAUGCGAUAAGUAAUGUGAAUUGCAGAAUUCCGUGAAUCAUCGAAUCUUUGAACGCACAUUGCGCCCCCUGGCAUUCCGGGGGGCAUACCUGUCCGAGCGUCAUUUCUGCCCUCCAGCCCGGCUGGGUGUUGGGCGCUGUCCCCCCGGGGACACGCCCCAAAGGCAGUGGCGGCGCCGCGUCGGGUCCUCGAGCGUAUGGGGCUUUGUCACCCGCUCGGGACGGACUCGUCGGCGCUGGUCUUCCUCCAGGCGACCCUUCGGGGCUCGUCUUCCUUCGGUUGACCUCGGAUCAGGUAGGGUUACCCGCUGAACUUAAGCAUAUCAAUAAGCGGAGGA